GCGCGCCGCGAGAUCGUCUAGGUGCGCGCGAACACCGUCGCUGCGUGGACGCUCGAAGAUGUCAACGUCGUCGUCAAAUGGGAAACCCUACGUGUAGAGAGAUGACGGGUAAAACGAACAAAUCUCUUCGAUGAGAAUGCGAACCUACUUCGAACGAUCGAGAAAGCAAGGAGGAGAGAUGUGACCUAUAUUUUUAGGCACGAGCGGAAGGACCGCUACGUGCUAUAUUGCGCGCUCAAUGAAAGCGAGAAUGAGAAGACAGACACUGUAAGAGCGAAAGGAUUAUGAAAAUGUUGGGAAUAUAGAGAGGAUCAAACGGUUUGCUGUUCAAACGUGUUUUAAGGAAAAGGAUCAGGAAAGAAAACAAAAAAAGAGAGAAACGGCAAUGAGUGCAUCGAGAAGUUAUGCGGAAUAACGAGUUCGAGGAAAAUGACACGCGCACGCGGUGUUCAACACGUAACCUUAAAUGGACUUACGGUAUACAUUGUAAGCGCAAAUAGAUGACAUAACUGCGAUAAACGGAAGCUCAUUGGACGCUAAAAUUCCAGAGUGAAUCUGAAAAUGUGUCGCGUACGCGCACUACCGUCUUGAUCGUCUGCGGGAUCAUCGAUAAUGACGAUCGAUGAUCUACGGUGAUCGAUAGCGCUGCCAGGAGAGCACGAGGCUCGAGGAGGUCGCGCGAGUCUGCUGGGAAGUGGCAACUCGGACUGCGUGCCGGUGAAAGGCUUGUUUAUUCAGAGGCGGAGGCGGCGCGCAGCGCAAAAUUCGCUCAAUUCAUUAAGAUCUAACUCCAAUGGCGUCCAUAAGAAAAAUAUAUAUUAUAACUGACAAUGAGUAUAAGUAUAUAUCAAACUAUACACAGCUAUAUUUUCUUAUAAACUGUUUAUACAACAAUCCGUUUUAGACGCCAACAAGAUUGUAAAAUACUUUCCGAGCGCUUAACUUCUCUUUUAAGUUUCAUCUCUUUUACUUUUCACGUUAUUCUUAAGUCAUUGCUAUGCACAUUUGCAGCACGUCUCUGUGCUUUGUUCGGAACCGCGAUGUUCCGAAGCGCAGCGAGUUUUAAGGCUACAUUGCUCCAAGAACCUGCGAACCAAUAACAACCGCGCAUUACUCUCGUUACGCAAACCGCAUUGUGCAACCGCACAGUGCGGCAAAGUUUAAUACGCUUAAUGUAUAAAUAACGCUAACGUGCACUGCCAACUGUACACGACUACUACACACGACUGUGCGUAAAUUCGCAACAGCGACAACGCACCUCGCUGCGCUUGCUUUGCAGGCACUUUCGUGAGAACGCACGUGCGCGUUCAGCUUCCUCGAAAAUUCUUCUCGACUUGGAAGUUUAUUAUUUAAAAAAUAAACAUCUUUUUUCUUUCGU
rnacentral:lncRNA from 1 species